UACGUAGGGUGCGAGCGUUGUCCGGAAUUAUUGGGCGUAAAGAGCGCGCAGGCGGUCGUUCAAGUCGCGUGUGAAAGCCCCCGGCUCAACUGGGGAGGGUCACGCGAUACUGAUCGACUCGAAGGCAGGAGAGGGUAGUGGAAUUCCCGGUGUAGUGGUGAAAUGCGUAGAUAUCUGGAGGAACACCGGUGGCGAAGGCGACAUCCUGGACCGGUAUUGACGCUGAGGCGCGAAAGCCAGGGGAGCAAACGGG
rnacentral:rRNA from 1 species